UGCUGCCAUUGCCUUAGGUCUUAAGUUUCUCAAUGAUCAUCCUCAGGUGUUGCCACAACUUAUGGAAGAACACGAGAAAAUUGUUAAAAACCGAGAGGACAAAGAGGCCGCGAUUUCAUGGGCAGAAUACAAGUCAAUGACAUUCACACAUAAGGUUGUGAAUGAAAUAGUAAGGCUAGCCAAUAU